ACUUAAAACUCAAAGGACUUGACGGUGUCCCAUACCGACCUAGAGGAGCCUGUCCUAUAAUCGAUACCCCCCGCUCCACCCAACCCCAACUAGCAUACGUCAGCCUAUAUACCGCCGUCGAUCAGCCUACCCUAUGAAAGUCCAACAGUAGACACAAUAGCCUCACCGCUAAUACGUCAGGUCAAGGUGUAGCAAAUGUUGUGGAAGAGAUUGGCUACAUUUUUUAUUAUAAAAAAUACGAAAUAUACCAUGAAACAGUAUAUGAAGGUGAAUUUAGUAGUAAAAUAAACA
rnacentral:rRNA from 1 species